AUACUGUCAUUAAAAUAAUCUAUACUGCUCGUAACUCUCGGGCGUGUACAAGAAGGAAAGACACUUCUCUUUGCCGAGCCUCGGAUCUUCAUCUGCAAAAUGGAACUAGAAUACACUGUCCAAGUAAACAUUCAGUGACUUGAGGGAUGGUAGCUCUGAACUUCCACAGAAUACAUCCGGU
rnacentral:lncRNA from 1 species